CCUACGGGCGGCUGCAGUAGGGAAUCUUCCACAAUGGGCGAAAGCCUGAUGGAGCAACGCCGCGUGGGUGAAGAAGGUCUUCGGAUCGUAAAACCCUGUUGUUAGAGAAGAAAGUGCGUGAGAGUAACUGUUCACGUUUCGACGGUAUCUAACCAGAAAGCCACGGCUAACUACGUGCCAGCAGCCGCGGUAAUACGUAGGUGGCAAGCGUUAUCCGGAUUUAUUGGGCGUAAAGGGAACGCAGGCGGUCUUUUAAGUCUGAUGUGAAAGCCUUCGGCUUAACCGGAGUAGUGCAUUGGAAACUGGGAGACUGGAGUGCAGAAGAGGAGAGUGGAACUCCAUGUGUAGCGGUGAAAUGCGUAGAUAUAUGGAAGAACACCAGUGGCGAAAGCGGCUCUCUGGUCUGUAACUGACGCUGAGGUUCGAAAGCGUGGGUAGCAAACAGGAUUAGAUACCCCUGUAGUC
rnacentral:rRNA from 1 species